GAUGAACGCUGGCGGCGUGCCUAAUACAUGCAAGUCGAGCGAACAGAUGAGGAGCUUGCUCCUCUGACGUUAGCGGCGGACGGGUGAGUAACACGUGGAUAACCUACCUAUAAGACUGGGAUAACUUCGGGAAACCGGAGCUAAUACCGGAUAAUAUAUUGAACCGCAUGGUUCAAUAGUGAAAGACGGUUUUGCUGUCACUUAUAGAUGGAUCCGCGCCGCAUUAGCUAGUUGGUAAGGUAACGGCUUACCAAGGCAACGAUGCGUAGCCGACCUGAGAGGGUGAUCGGCCACACUGGAACUGAGACACGGUCCAGACUCCUACGGGAGGCAGCAGUAGGGAAUCUUCCGCAAUGGGCGAAAGCCUGACGGAGCAACGCCGCGUGAGUGAUGAAGGUCUUCGGAUCGUAAAACUCUGUUAUUAGGGAAGAACAAAUGUGUAAGUAACUAUGCACGUCUUGACGGUACCUAACCAGAGAGCCACGGCUAACUACGUG
rnacentral:rRNA from 1 species